CAAUAGCGUAUAUUAAAGUUGUUGCAGUUAAAACGCUCGUAGUCGGAUUUCGGGGCGGGGCCGCCGGUCUGCCGAUGGGUAUGCACUGGCGGGCGCGUCCUUCCUUCCGGAGACUGGCCCUACUCUUAACUGAGCGGGGUCGGGAAUCGGAUCGUUUACUUUGAAAAAAUCAGAGUGUUUCAAGCAGGCAGCUCGCUCUUGCAUGGAUUAGCAUGGGAUAAUGAAAUAGGACUUUGGUGCUAUUUUGUUGGUUUCGAACACCGAAGUAAUGAUUAACAGGGACAGUCAGGGGCACUCGUAUUCCGCCGAGAGAGGUGAAAUUCUCAGACCAGCGGAAGACGAACCACUGCGAAAGCAUUUGCCAGGGAUGUUUUCACUGA
rnacentral:rRNA from 1 species